rnacentral:rRNA from 1 species
CCUACGGGGGGCAGCAGUAGGGAAUAUUGCUCAAUGGGGGAAACCCUGAAGCAGCGACGCCGCGUGGAGGAUGAAGGUUUUCGGAUUGUAAACUCCUUUUGUUAGAGAAGAUAAUGAUGGUAGUUAACGAAUAAGCACCGGCGAACUCCGUGCCAGCAGCCGCGGGAAUACGGAGGGUGCAAGCGUUACUCGGAAUCACUGGGCGUAAAGAGCGCGUAGGCGGGAUAGCAAGUCAGAUGUGAAAUCCUAUGGCUUAACCAUAGAACUGCAUUUGAAACUGUUAUUCUAGAGUAUGGGAGAGGUAGGUGGAAUUCUUGGUGUAGGGGUAAAAUCCGUAGAGAUCAAGAGGAAUACUCAUUGCGAAGGCGACCUGCUAGAACAUAACUGACGCUGAUGCGCGAAAGCGUGGGGAGCAAACAGGAUUAGAUACCCCGGUAGUC